GACUUCUCUGAGUAGAAAGAGCUAUAAGAAUUAAGGAAGUUUAUCAAGAGAAACUUGUUAUGUAUAUGCAAGUUUAUGUAUAAACUUAAUAGAGCUUGCAGUGCAGAUUGUCAGAUCUUCAACUGCCAAGAAUCAUUACAUGAGAUAUAAGUCAUAUGAGAAAUAAAUACAUAAAUAAAUAAAUUAUGGCUAAGGGAAGUCACUGAUGUUAUAUGCAUUAAGAAUAUUUGAAGUAGCUGUUUGUAGCUUGAAUUCAGUAAGUGAUGGGUUAAUGGUAAUCAGGAAUAUGCCAUCACUUUCUAACAAAUGAAAAUUGAAUUAAAUGAGGAUUAUUUGUUUCAUUCACUUCAUGAAUGAGUUCUGAAAAUCUUAUAUCUAUCUAUGGCUCAUUCAUUACUCAGUCAGAGAUAUUUUCCAUUAGCAACCAGAAGAGGUCAGAUGGAGGUUAAAAGAAUAAAAUGAUAAAAGUAUGGGAAGAAAGAUGGUCAGUUUAGACUCAAAUACUUUUAACCUAAGUCCCUAUGCAUAGUUUUGGAAGUGUUUACUGGAAGGCCAUAUAGAAUUAUAAACAUGCAAAGUAGCUUGUAUUUUUUACAUAAGAUUUUUUUCUUUUGGAAAUUCUGUGUGUGUAGGUUGUAUUGUUAAUAUGUUCUUCAUACUAACAGUAUGUAAGCAGUUAACGAUUUAAUUUUCUUCAAGGAUUUUUAACUUAAUCUACACUAUUUUUCUAUGCUUUUCCUUUAUUUAGUUAAUAUGAAAGAUAAUUUGAUUUCUAUGUGACUAUGAGUGGUUCUACACAACAUCCUAGGAUGAAAAUUCAACUGGCUACCUUGUUUUGUGAACCCAAUUGACUAAUUUAAGGUCAAAAAUGAUGUGUGAAUUCAGGCAAUUGAAUUAAUUCAGUGAACCAUGGUUUACUUAAAUGUAUGAUGAAAUAAUCCUACAUUUAAUUCCUAUUACAUAGAGUUUUAUGAAUGUGAAAGCUUUGUCCCACUGGGAGAAAACUUCACAUCUAUCAUUCAAGUUUUGUGUGGUUAUUUUGAAGAUUAGGUUUUUGUAUAUCCAUAUAUCUGUAUGCAUUGGGAACACAUUUCUGCCAUAGCUGUCUAGAGUGAAAGCGACUUCUGCUUAUCACACAAGUCUCAGGAGUGCCUCGGAGCAAGCACCCAAAAUCUCAAUGCAGCUGCUUUGAAGUUUUAUGAUGUGGAUCCAGAAGGGUGCUUCAUUUUGCUGAAGAAACUGCACAAGCUUACUAUUAAAUACUGUUUCUUAAUCUGUGAAAUGUUGACAGUUCAGAUAUGUAUUUUUAGAUUUAUAUCCAGCCUUCCUUCCAGGAGCUCUGCUUCAUCCCCUACCUCAUUUUAUCAUUGGAACUCAUAAACAAGAUUUAUAUUUGCACCACACAUUUAAUUCUGCAAUUGAAAGUGGAACAGAUAACAUUUCCGUCAUCUGUUAUGUCUCACAAGUACUCUGUGAGCUACUUUGGGUCAAGAAAGAGGAUGAUUGAAGUUAUUGAAGAAGACCAUAUUCAUUGUCAAAACAGUGUUUGGAGGAUUUUGUCUUUUACCAGACUAUAAAAGAAAAGAUAGAAGAGGCGUAUUUGGAGAAUGGACAGUAUUGGGAAUUAUUACUUUGUGCUGCCUGCCCUAAAUAUGUUAUGUACUUAAGUACAGGUCUUUAGUCAUCUCAAGUAGCUGUUUGGCCUCUUUUUAUGAAUACUAAGCUCCCUGAGAUUCAGAAUCAAUAAAAACAAUUUCUGCAGGGAAAGGAGAAAUGUUAUUUGGGAAGCUGAAAUAUGCUUUUGCAUUAAAAUGUCUCUUUUUCUAGAUUAUAUGGAUAUUUUAGAAGCAGGACUGCCAACAUUCAAAAAUAAAAUAGAACUCUCCAAUGAGUUAUAAAACAUCUUUCUCUAGCAGAAUAGAAUAUAUAGACAGGAGAAAAUAGUUCCCUGGUGAGGUAAACGUACAAUGAAUAACAUUGCAUACACUAAUUCUAGGCUGAAAGCUAUUCUCCAAAGGAAAUGAAUAAUGGCAUUCCAUUAGAGAAUUGCACCAUCUAACUUUCAUCUGAAAGCUCUAUUAUCAAUGAAUUUGUUUCUGAGAUUCUUCUGUUGCUUCUGAGAUGGCACUGCUGAAGUCAGUUAUUCUUUUUGGAGCAAAAAUUAAAACAUGACCUCUUAAACUCUUGGCUGAAACUAGAUCUGCACACUAAGAAAAGAUUUAAAGAAGUUUGCAAGCUUCAGAGUUCAUCAAUAUACCUCGUCAGGAUUGAAAGUAAGCAAAAUGAAAAAAACAAAGAAUAAAUGAAACUUUUGAUAAGAUGAAGAAGUGAGAAUAUUAUGUUUAUUUUGAAUUAAAUUGUUUUAUUUAAUGCAUUUAUUAAAUAAACCCCUGUAUUUUUAAUUUAUGUUUGCCUAAUGGACAAAUACUACUAUCU